rnacentral:lncRNA from 1 species
AUGAGGAGGAUCCUAGGGGGUACUGCAGGACAAGGGGGGAUUCCAGGGGGCCAUGGGAUGAGGGGGACCCCACGGGGUACUGCAGGACGAGAGGGGGAUCCCAGGGGCCCGUGGGAUGGAGAUGAGCCCAAGGGGGGGUCACUGAGGUGCACUGGGACCACACUCACCCGUCGGCUCAAAGAGCUGCACUGCUGCCACCCGCUCGGAGAAGCCGAUCUGUGCCAGCUCAUCGCCCACCGGCCCCAGCUCCGGGGGGGCCCCACCGGGACCCUCAGGGGGCUGCUGCCCUCUCAGCCCUUCCAACCAGUCUGGCGCCGGCUCGAAGCGCUGCAGCUCCCGCUGCCCGUGCAGGCUCCAGUCCCCACAGUUGCAGAGGGCGCAGCGGCGAGCUGGCGUGCUGGGAGGGACAGAAGGUGUAAGGGACACACAGAACCCCCCCCCCCCCCUCACCCCAUUACCGGCCCCACGUUGCCCCCCAAACCUCCCACCCUCACCUGCUGGCCCCACCGGGUCCCUUCGUGUCCNCCCACCCCCACGGGCCCUCCCGGUCCCACCCCGAUCCCCCCGGACCCUUCCAGGCCUCACCGGCCGGGCCGCGGCCUACACCGGGCACCGGCACCAACAGCGCCCGGCGCGGCCGUACCUACGCUUAAACGGCGGCGGCGGAGCGACGGGGGAGGCCCCGACCCCGCGGGGCAGCGGCCAUCACGGGGGGAGAGAAGGAAGGGGGACGAAACGGAACCGCGAACCGAACCGAGAGCGGAACCGAAGGCCUCAAAACCGGGGCCCGGAACCGCACCGCCGGGCCCGGACACAAAGAGAGCCCCGGGCCCGCGCUCCGGGCUCCGUCACCGGGAUAGGCCGCACCGCCGCCUCUCCGUGUGCCCCCCACCCCCACCCCGACCCCCCCACGGUGAACCGGGAGGCGGCGGAGCGGCACCGCCACAACGCGCGGGGCGGCCCCGGGGGCGGCGGCGGCGGCGCGGGGACUUUUCCCUUCCGGGGAGCGGGGAGGGGGGGGGAGUGGAAAAACGGAGGGGAAAACGCGGAGAGGGGAACGAACGGAGAGAGCCGAGCCCCCCCCAAACCCCUCCCGGUGCCGCCCCGGCGGUUCGCGGUUCCUUACCCGCCCUACCGGGCCCCGGGAGCGGGGCGGGAGGUGGUCCCCGGUGCGGCCAUUUCUAA